rnacentral:rRNA from 1 species
CCUACGGGAGGCAGCAGUGAGGAAUAUUGGUCAAUGGACGCGAGUCUGAACCAGCCAAGUAGCGUGAAGGAUGACUGCCCUACGGGUUGUAAACUUCUUUUAUAUAGGAAUAAACUGAGGCACGUGUGCCUUUUUGUAUGUACUUUAUGAAUAAGGAUCGGCUAACUCCGUGCCAGCAGCCGCGGUAAUACGGAGGAUCCGAGCGUUAUCCGGAUUUAUUGGGUUUAAAGGGAGCGUAGGUGGGUGGUUAAGUCAGUUGUGAAAGUUUGCGGCUCAACCGUAAAAUUGCAGUUGAAACUGGCAGUCUUGAGUACAGUAGAGGUAGGCGGAAUUCGUGGUGUAGCGGUGAAAUGCUUAGAUAUCACGAAGAACUCCGAUUGCGAAGGCAGCUUACUGGACUGCAACUGACACUGAGGCUCGAAAGUGUGGGUAUCAAACAGGAUUAGAUACCCUUGUAGUC